GGGAAGGUGGCUCAGUGGUAGAGCGCUUGCCUAGCAUGCAUGAGGCCCUGGGUUCGAUUCCUCAGCACCCCA
rnacentral:tRNA from 1 species